UCUAAUGUAUGCCUAUUAUUUCCUCUGUGCUAUAGGGAAAAGGCCGUGGUGGAAAAGGUUGAUCACAGACUCAGAUUGCUCAGUUCAUUUUUGGCUUUGUAUGUUCACCUAUUAUGCUCUACUAUCACUUUACUACUGAGAUAUUGAGCAUGUACCUGAGCAUUAUUGCAAUUUUCAGUGUCGGAUUUUUUGGAGAUUGAGGUAGCAUCUGUCGGAUCUCAAAGCUUACUCAGAUCUCAUCUUCUUUUAUCUCAUGUGUAAUCGCAUUUGAUAUAUUUUAGACUAAUUUAUUAUAUUCGAUAUUAGAGACAUGUACUAGUGACAAUCACACCUGAAAUAUUGUAUUGAUAUUGUACUUCUUUUUAUAUCAUUUGUGGAUUAUUUUCA